ACGGAGGAUGCAAGCGUUAUCCGGAUUCAUUGGGUUUAAAGGGUGCGCAGGCGGAAUGAUAAGUCAGUGGUGAAAUCCUACGGCUCAACUGUAGAAAUGCCAUUGAUACUGUUGUUCUUGAGUACACUUGGAGUGGGCGGAAUGUGUCAUGUAGCGGUGAAAUGCUUAGAUGUGACACAGAACUCCGAUUGCGAAGGCAGCUCACUAAGUUGUAACUGACUCUCAGGCUCGAAAGCGUGGGGAUCAAACAG
rnacentral:rRNA from 1 species